UCUCUCCCGGCUCCUCACUCUGGGCGUCUCCGCUCGCGCCGGCGUAGUCCAGUGAACAUACAUGACUUGUGGAACUGCAAUUAAUUGUUUUUUUUUUUUAAAUUCCAAUUCACUCCAAUAAUAAUAGAAAUAAAAAGAUGGCUCAGUGAAGUGGCUCACACCUGUAAUCCUAGCACUCUGAGAGGCCAAGGCAGAUUGCUUGAGCUCAGGGGUUUGAGACCAGCCUGAGCAAGAAUGAGACCCCAUCUCCACUAAAAAUAAGAAAAACUGAGGCAAGAGGAUCCCUUGAGCCCAAGAGCUUGAGGUUGCUGUGAGCCAUGACACCAGGGCACUCUACUCAGGCGCCAGAGGACUCCAUAUUAAGAAAAUAAAAAGGAAAGAAAAACAGCACACAGAAAUGCUUCAGAGGAUGGAGUAAUUUUAUGGACAAGCAAAGGUGACAGGAGGGAAUGACUCUGGUGAUACCGUGAUAGCUACCAGCCCUUCUAGGCCCAUCAAGGAUCAAAAGGAGAGGCGGCUUUCCUGUAGGCUCCACCUCAUCAAAAGGUUGCUGUCGGCUUUCCUUCUGAGUUCUUUAAUCAUCUUCAGCCUUCCUUGGAUUUGCCAGGAAAGAAGAGGAAAAAGGAGGAGAAAUCAGAAGAAACACUCCAAAUUGGUGACGAGAUCCAGAGGUCAUGAAGUCAAAUUGGUCCUCCUCCCAGCAGGCCUUUGUGAAGCAUGCAUGAAAAUUGAAUUCAAACGUAUAUUAUAAAAACCUGCUGUCACCAGUCCAGUGGACACUGGGUGAGGAUGGAGAACUACAGCUUUGAUUUAUCCACUGAGUUCCACCUUUCAAUACUAUUACUAUUAUGAAAGCUGCAUUUUUCAGUACAAUAACAAUUCAGCUUCUCAUUUUUCUACUACUUUUUAUAAAGUAAGGUAUACUAUAGCAGUCAAACUCUUUCUAUGGUGCUCCCCGCUGAUGGAGAUGACUCUACUGGCCAAAGCGAGCAGCUGAUUGGUCCCAGGGCAGUUCGCCACAUGAUGGCUCAAAACACUGGAUACCAAGGAAAAAAUUCAGAAUGUGGCCACUCGUUUAAGGGCCCUAAUGUAUAAUGUAUGUAAAAAGAAAAACGUUACAUAGAAGUUGAAUUUAGAAAAAUGGAAGACCAUGUGUAUAGGAAGAUGGAUAGAGUAGGAAAAAAAAUAGCCUAAAAGUAAAAUCUAAACAAGAACAACAACAAAAUGACAAAAUUGCAUGUAAAAUAAGAACUUUUUUUUGGUAGAGACAGAAUCUCACUUUAUUGCCCUUGGUAGAAUGCCAUGGUGUCACACACUCACAGCAACCUCCAACUCCUGGGCUUAGGCGAUUCUCUUGCCUCAGCCUCCUGAGUAGCUGGGACCACAGGCACCUGCCACAAUGCCUGGCUAUUUUUUUGUUGCAGUUUGGCCGGGGCCAGGUUCGAACCUGCCACCCUCAGUAUAUGGGACCUGCACCCUACCCACUGAGCCACAGGUGCUGAAAAUAAGAACUUUCAUUGCUUGGGAUAUGUGUUUCUUUGAUUUAGUUUUAUUUGGGGCAUGGGAUGGGGUUAAAUGAAAUAUAAUUUGAGGCGAUAAGAGGAGAGAAAUACUGUUCAGAGUCAUUGACAUUUUAAUAUAUUUCUCAGAAGCAUCAUUGAAGUUGACAGGAAAAAGUCACUCUAAUUGGAAAUAAAGGAGGCUGACAGAGAUGUGCCUCUCCACAGCUCAGGUAACCCUACUGAGUGCCUUUGUGCUCUGGGCACUUUGGGGCUGCAAAGAGCCUGAGAUGCAGUACUCAGGAUACAAAAAUGAAAAGUGAGGACAAUCCAAAUUGAGUAAUGAGACUUAUUUUUAAUAUAGUCUAAAUUUUAGAACAGUACCAAACUUUCAGAAAAGUUGCAAGUGCAGAGCAAGACAGAAAACUUUUUGUUUUCUUGAAAAUUUGAAAUUUUCAGGGAAAUAAUUCAGUAUUUCCUCCCAAAUACAUUCUCCUAUAUAAACACAAUAUAAACAUCAAAAUCAGGAAAUUAACGUGGAUACAUGGUCACUUCUAACCCUCAGGCCCCAUGUACUUUUUGCCGAUCAUGCUAAUUAUGUGCUUUCUAACAAAGGGGAUCUCGCAGUACAUUUUUAUGUCAUUUUAGUUUCCUAAAACUGGAAGAAGUCCUAGUCUUUCUUUGACUUGUGCAACCUAGACGUUUUCAGAGGUCUAUCACACUGUCUGAUGUUUCUUUAGCGUCACAUUCAGCUCAUGCAUCUUUGGUGGGUGUGAUGUUAACUUUAGGUGUCAUCUCGACUGGAUUAAGGGAUACCUAAAUAGUUGGUAAAGUACUGUUUCUAGUUGUUUCUGUGAGGAUGUUUCCAGAGGCGAGUGGGGUAUGAGUCAGUAGGAGAUUGCCCUCAGUGUGGGUGGGCACCAUGCAAUCAGUGAGGUGCCUAGCUAGAGCAAAAAGGCAGGGGAAAGGUAAAUUCUCUCUCUCUUCCCUCUCCUGGAGUUUGGACACCCUUCUUUUGCCCUCAGAUACCAGAAUGCGAGAUUUUCCAGCCUGUAAACUCUUGCCCCAUCUUCUCCCCCUCCCCUGAGAAUCAGGGAGUCCUCAGGCCUUCAGACUCAGAGUUACAGCAUUGACUUUAAUGCUCUGUAGUUCCAGCUCUUCCAGAGAAUGAGGCAGGAGUUCGAGGCAAGCCUGGGUAACAUAGCGAAAGUCUGUCUCUAUGGUAGGAAUGUUCUGUGCUGGGGAGCCUGGCAGCUGGACACCUUCCUCACACUGUCUGAGCUCUGACAGCCCACAGCUGAGUGCCUUUAAAAUUUUUUUUUUUUUUUUUUUUUUAGUCAGAGUCUCACUCUGUUGUUCUGGGUAGAGUGCCGUGGAGUCAUCAUAGCUCACAGCAACCUUGAACUCUUGGGCUCAAGGGAUCCUUUUGCCUCAGCCUCCCAAGUAGCUGGGACUACAGGUGUGCACCACCAUGCCCAGCUAGUUUUUUCUAUAUACAUUUUUUGAAGUAAAGAUGAGGUCUCACUCUUGCUCAGACCAGUUUUGAACUCCUGAGCUCAAGUAAUCCACCUGCCUCAAGUUCCCAAAGUGCUGCGAUUGCAGGCAUGGGACAAUGCCUGGCCCCAGAGUGCCCUUUCUGUGAACACUCCUCUCUCAGCUCAGGCUCUGACACCCUGCUGUACUCCGUUCUUAUGUCCUGCUCUGGGCCACCAUGGUCUCUCCUUUAGGGACAGAGCUUUAGAACUGCAUUGUUUGGAAGGGAAACAAAAGGUGGGGAAGGCAAAGAGUAAAGUCUAUUUCAAAUUCAAAAUUUAAAAGAAGAGGCUCAGCGCCAUAGCUCAGUGAUUAGGGUGCCAGCCACAUGCACCAGGGCUGGUGGUCCAAACCCGGCCCAGGCCUGCUAAAUAACAAUGACAACAACAACAACAAAAAUAGGCUUUGUGGCGGGCGCCUGUAGUCCCACCUACUUAGGAGGCUGAGGCAAGAGAAUAACUUAAGCCCAAGAGUUUGAGGUUGCUGUGAGCUGUGAUGCCACAGCACUCUACUGAGGGUGACAUAAUGAGACUCUGUCUCAAGGGAAAAAAAAAUUUUUAAAGAAAAAAUAAUGUCUACUAUAUAUAUUUUUUCUAUACUAAGGAGAAACGUGGCUUUUUCUAGGUCUUCUAAAAAGGCUAAAAUGGAAACAUGUUUUUAAACUUUACAUUUAUUCUCUUCUUGGGGACUAAUGCAGGGCUGGGUAAUUAGACUCAGAUUCCUUAUUUAUAUUCUUAUUUGGGGGCAGAAGAACAGUCUCUUUUAAACUACAACAUUUCCUUUUUUAAUAUGCCCAGAAGGAUUGGAAAAUACUGGGAAUUAACAAUUUUUGGUGAAGAGACAAGAUUGUAAAACUAUUAGUUUAAAAUAAAGGUCAGCUCUGCUCUCUUUAAUCAUUUCAUGCAAUUUUGCCCUGAAGGCAUUUAUCCUUGUCUUUAUCCAUUGAAUUGUAUAGUAAACCCUAUUAAUUUAAUCCAGAUGAACAGUUAUUUCUGACUUUAUAUUACAGUUCUAUUGAGGUAAUUACUACCAAAUGAUCAGUGAUUGAGUCUGAAAAAAAUGCACUUAAUUAUUAUUAAUUGAAUAACCACUGAGUUAAUAAAACUGUCCUAGGAUAUUAUACUGGAAAUUAAUUGAAGAUAAUAUAUACCUUCAAGAAGUUAUGCCCCGAGGGAGAUAAUGGAGGAAGAACAAUCCUUUCCAUUUAGGUAAAGACACUUAAUAAAUGCUCAUUA